rnacentral:piRNA from 1 species
UCUAAAAUUUACUGCUUGAAGUCCAUUUC